rnacentral:rRNA from 1 species
GACGAACGCUGGCGGCGUGCUUAACACAUGCAAGUCGAACGCUGAAGCUCAGCUUUUGUUGGGUGGAUGAGUGGCGAACGGGUGAGUAACACGUGAGUAACCUGCCUCCUUCUUUGGGAUAACGCCCGGAAACGGGUGCUAAUACUGGAUAUUCACUGGUCUUCGCAUGGGGGUUGGUGGAAAGGGUUUUUCUGGUGGGGGAUGGGCUCGCGGCCUAUCAGCUUGUUGGUGGGGUGAUGGCCUACCAAGGCUUUGACGGGUAGCCGGCCUGAGAGGGUGACCGGUCACAUUGGGACUGAGAUACGGCCCAGACUCCUACGGGAGGCAGCAGUGGGGAAUAUUGCACAAUGGGCGCAAGCCUGAUGCAGCGACGCCGCGGGAGGGAUGGAGGCCGUCGGGUUGUGAACCUCUUUCGCUCAUGGUCAAGCCGCAACAAUGGUUGUGGUGAGGGUAGUGGGUAAAGAAGCGCCGGCUAACUACGUG